GAUGAACGCUAGCGGCAGGCUUAACACAUGCAAGUCGAGGGGUAGAAGUUGCUUGCAACUUUGAGACCGGCGCACGGGUGCGUAACGCGUAUGCAAUCUACCUUAUACAGAGGGAUAGCCCAGAGAAAUUUGGAUUAAUACCUCAUAGUAUAAUUGAAUGGCAUCAUUUAACUAUUAAAGUUCCAACGGUAUAAGAUGAGCAUGCGUCCUAUUAGCUAGAUGGUAAGGUAACGGCUUACCAUGGCAACGAUAGGUAGGGGUCCUGAGAGGGGGAUCCCCCACACUGGUACUGAGACACGGACCAGACUCCUACGGGAGGCAGCAGUGAGGAAUAUUGGACAAUGGGCGCAAGCCUGAUCCAGCCAUGCCGCGUGCAGGAAGAAGCAUCUAUGGUGUGUAAACUGCUUUUGUACGGGAAGAAACACCCCUUCGUGAAGGGACUUGACGGUACCGUAAGAAUAAGGAUCGGCUAACUCCGUGCCAGCAGCCGCCGCCG
rnacentral:rRNA from 1 species